AACUAGGAACUAAUCAUGUCCAUCUAUAAUUUAUAACCUACUUUCAAUCACAGCCGUUCAAAUAUUAAAAAUUAAAAAAUAUAAAAAACAAAAAUUUUGCCCGGUUAAUAAUCAUAAUCACAAUUUGUUUCUCUCUCUUAUGUUUAUCCAUUCUCUCUCGAACGACUCUUUCUCUCUCUAACAGAGCCGUGCUUCGCUCUGUACAAAAUCGAGCUGCAACAUCUUUUCGGAAACUUCUCUCUAUAAUCGAGCUGCAGCAUCGCGUGUUUUCUUCGUAAUUGAGCUUUCUCAGCCGGCUUUUUCUCUGGAUUUCUUAUACAGGCCUCUAAUCUUGUUGAAGUUUGCUCAAUUCCGUUCGAAGCAGUGUUUUUGAAGCUUGCUGAUUUCCAUUCGAAGAAUCUUGUUUUGUUGAAGAUAAUUUUUUCGGACUUAACUAAAAUUAGUGAUAAUUAAGGUAUAAUAUGGUUUUUGCACCUUUCACUUGUGUUGACAAACAUGAUAGAUGUGUCACAUUUGCGGCUUGUUUGUUAUCGAAAGAAGAUGUUCCUCAUUAUAACCGGGCUUUUAAACAUUUUGUCAAAGCCAUGGGACGAAAUCCAGUUGUCUUUAUAACUGAUCAGUGUCCUACAAUGAAAGUCUCUGUGCCGGCUUCUUUUUGUGGUGAAAAUAAUAUGGUUGCUAGCAAGCAUUGCCUUUGUAUGUGGCAUAUUAUGAAAAAGUUCCAUGUUAAGCUUGGUAAUUGUUUGUGUACGGAGACGGACUUUAUGGGAAAAAAAUGAAAACUUACAUAUGGUCUUCAAAUUUGGAGAAGGCAUUGACAAAAACAAAUAAAAGAAUUCGAAGAUGUAAAAAAUGCUUUCACUCUGCAACCACUCAUGACUCGAGAACUUGUCCAAAGAAGAAGAAGGGAGGAGGAGAAACUGUAGUGUCGAACAACUUGUGAAAUUGUUUUUAUUUUCUUUUUAAAAAGUACAUUUGGAUUGGAUGUUAUAAUGUUUUGUACAUAUGAAUUUUAUAUAUGUGAGGCGUAGUAUACAUAUUUUAGUGUAUUAGAACUGAUACAGUUUUUGAUUUGAAAAUAUAUUUUGAAUAUAUAAAUAGAA